AAAUUGAUGUGGGUGUCGCCUUAGACUAAUUUGGAGUUGUGUACGUGUGUUAGCGUGUAUGAGGUGUGGUACUAGAUAUGGAUAGGACGGGCAGAUCGGCUUGAGCUAGCCUCGCUUGGGGCCCGAUCCUUUUUGUGAUAAGUCGAGGUGAGUACGACUUUGGGUUGAUCUCGCUGACGUUCGCAUUUGGAUUGUUAAGAGAAAGUCUGGUUCGAGUUGAUCUCACUGGCA
rnacentral:misc_RNA from 1 species